rnacentral:rRNA from 1 species
UAUGUGAUCGUCUCUCGCAUAUCAAUAAGCGGAGGAAAAGAAACUAACGAGGAUUCCCCUAGUAACGGCGAGUGAAGCGGGAAGAGCUCAAAUUUGAAAUCUUAAAGGGUUUCCCUUUACGAAUUGUAGUUUAAAGAAGUGUUUUCUGUUGAGGUUUUGGUAAAAGUUCUUUGGAAUAGGACAUCAUAGAGGGUGAGAAUCCCGUAUUUGACCUUUACUUUCAACUUUGUGAUACACUUUCAAAGAGUCGGAUUGUUUGGGAAUGCAGUCCAAAAUGGGUGGUAAAUUUCAUCUAAAGCUAAAUAUUGGCGAGAGACCGAUAGCGAACAAGUACCGUGAGGGAAAGAUGAAAAGAACUUUGAAAAGAGAGUUAAACAGUACGUGAAAUUGUCAAAAGGGAAGCGUUUGACACCAGUGUUGUUUUUCUGAAAAUCAAUUAAAGAACUGUUUAUGCUAAGUUGUUUAGACUUUAUCAGCUAAUCUGUUUAGUUUUGAGCUUUUCUUUAAUGCACUUUUCAGUUAACAAGUCAACAUCAAUUUCUUUUGCUGUAAAAAAGCUUGAGGAAGGUGGCUUGAGAUUCGUCUUAAGUGUUUAUAGCCUCUUGCCUAUGCAGUCGGAGAGAUUGAGGUCUGCAGCGUAGAUCCUUCGGGGCUAAAUGCAUUUGUGCUAAGUUAUAGCAUUUUAUAGACAACUUGUUGACUAUGAUUUGUCUUGUAGCUUACUCGCUUAUGUUAUUUUACCUACGCUUAGGAUGUUGAAGUCAUCACACAUCUC